rnacentral:snRNA from 1 species
GGAGUUUCUCGGCCUUUUGGCUAAGAUCAAGUGUGGUAUCAGGUCUUAUCAGUUUAAUAUCUGAUACUUAUUUUUUUCUUUUUGUGGUUGGACUGGCAGUGCUAGGUUAAUAGUUGGACUUGAUGACCUUAAAGGUCUUUUCCAACCAAAACAAU